rnacentral:sRNA from 2 species
ACUCUAUAUGGUAGAUUUAGUACUCUCACAGGGAAUCGAGUGCUGGACACAGACAGGCCCAUGCUGCGAAGUCACUCGAUCAGCAGGUUAUGACAUAGCCUACAUAGCCCACACGAAGGUAAAUCCAUCAGGGAUGUGACAUCUGAACCAUAUAUAUGGCUAAACCUCCUAGGGACACCAGCACUUGGAGGCAUAUAUGAUAAGACACUCACAAACAGCUAACACUUUCUACAUUAUGAGUAGGCUAGAGCUUGAGAGAUCUAGAGGACUAUAAGACCAUUCAUGCCAGGUCUGAUGUCUUCAAGGCCUGAGAACUUUUAUGUAUAUAAUUCGGUUUCCUAGCACGGACUAGCGCCCCGCACACAGUAGAC